GCUUUAUCGCCACCUGCUGACUGCAUGGCUGAAGUUCACCUUUGGCUUGAAGUGGUUACUGUGCUGCAAGACCGUCUGUUUGAUCUUUGCUGUUCCAGAUCUUCUGAUGAAGACGGAGGCUCUCCAGUGCUUCGUGUUGCAUCUCCACCUCCCCUUAAUUCCUGUCCUCAUCCUUCAGAGAAAGAUCCCAAGGUCAGGAAUUCCAAACAGCACGUGAAAUGAUGACUGCAUGACAAGAACUAAAAGCCCUGGAAGAAGUGGAGGCCUGUAGUUUCAUUUGCACCAUAUUCGGACUACUCAGAGGAACGUGUUUCCUUGCUAGGAGGAGGGAGUGAACUGUGAAUGCUGGAACAGCGAACUAUGAGAUCUAGAACCUGCACAGAAUAGUUCUGCUCGAGUGCAGCCAGGGUCAAACACCGCACACACAUUAAUAACUGAAAUACACCUGCAUACACACGUCCAAAAAAUGAAUUGUUGAUCACACACUCGCUGACAUGGCUUAACACAGUUCUACUACACUUCAUCUCUGGCUGCCAUGUAAAUAAUGUAUAUAACCCUUUUCCCUUUCUCUGUUGGGUUUCAGUUUUGUUAGAUUUUUUUUUUCUUUUUUCUUUUCUUCUCUUUUAUGACAUGCCUUAACAGUUCAGUUUUGCCUGUUAAGGCACACUUAAGAUGAGUAAAACAAAC